rnacentral:rRNA from 1 species
AUGCACAAACUAACUGGGACAUCGGAACACCCAGACUCGAUCGUAUUGGGAAAUCACGAAGAGUCACUAGGGGUGCAGGAAAUUUCCAUCAACUAUGUUGAUUCUGGAGAAUCAUUUGACCGUAAGACUACGACGGUCGACAUAUAUUUUGCUGAAAAGAUUGCAAAUACCCUUCUCACUGAUCAUGAUCCAAGGUCUAUCGUUGAGUGCCAAAAGCGCUCCAACUGGCCUAAAUGGAAGGAUGCAAUCCAAGCAGAAAUUGCCUCGCUUAACAAAAGAAAGGUAUUCACUAAAGCAAUACCUACACCUCCUAGUGUUUUCCCUGUGGGAUUCAAAUGGGUUUUUUCCGGAGACGGAAUGAGAACAAUGAGGUGGUGA